GAUUUCUGGUUUGAUACAGUUUACCGGCCACGGUUUCGUGUGUUAGUGUUUGCUGUUCUGACCAUCCUUCCAAUCGCUGCUCACUUUUCUUCAUUGAUUGGUGAGUGGUAUUGGAUCUUUUACUUUGAAAAAAUUAGAGUGUUUCAAGCAGGCUUUAUGCUAUGAAUACAUUAGCAUGGAAUAAUAAUUUAGGACUUUGGCCCUAUUUUGUUGGUUUCUAGGACUGAAGUAAUGAUUGAUAGGGAUAGUUGGGGGUGCUCGAAUUCAGCGGCCAGAGGUGAAAUUCUUGGAUUCGCUGAAGACGAACUCAUGCGAAAGCAUU
rnacentral:rRNA from 1 species